rnacentral:rRNA from 1 species
AUGGGUGUACGUCGUGAGGAGGUGGAGGUGGUGGAGUCGUGCAUGGUGCCGCCCAGCGAGCAGACACCUAGCCAUGGCCUCUGGCUCUCCCCACUCGACCUCACAAUGGCCAAUACAGGCCACACCCCAACCGUCUACUUCUACAGCUCCAGCUCCAGCGUCGUCGACGACGUCUUCGACGUGACCCGGCUGAAGGUUGCAUGGGCCAAGGCUCUCGUGGCCUUCCACCCUCUAGCCGGCCGUGUCAGCGUGGACGGCGACGGUCGGGCAGAGAUCGACUGCGCCGGCCAGGGCGCGCUCUUCGUCGUCGCUCGCUCGGACCUCGCCGUCAAGGGCUUCGUCCACUUCAAGCUGUCGCCGGAACUAAGGAGGCUCUUUGUUCCCCGCGUUGAGGACUCGCCGUCCAUCAUAGACGGUGAUAGAGCCGGGGGGCCGGCGCUCGAGCUCCCGUGCCACGACCACACCCUCCUCCGCGUGCGCACACCACCUGUCGUCCGCCCCGACGCUCUCACCGUGUUCUGGCCCAAGCUAAGCCUAUCCGAGCCGUCCGUCCCCGUCGCCAGCGAGAUCUUCGUCUUCUCCGAGGGCCAUGUCGCAGCUCUGAAGCGUGCCUGCAGCGGCGGUGGCAGCGUGAGCACGUUCAGCGCCGUGAGCGCCCACGUGUGGCGGUCCCUAUGCGCCGCGAGCCGGCUGCCGCCGGACGCGACGACGCGCCUCAGCUUCCCGGCCAACGUCCGGCCGGUCCUGAGGCCGCCGCUGCCGGGGCGCUACUUUGGGAACGGGAUCAUCAACAUGGGCACCGCCGGCAAGGUGCGCGACAUCGGAUCGGGGGAGCUGGCAUCCGUUGCCGGUCGGAUCGAAGGCGCCGUCCGCCGGAUGGACGACGAGCUGGUGCGUUCGGUGAUUGAUUACUUGGAGAUGAACGGCGAGCAGCAGCCGGGCCGUGGCAGCCUACCGGAGACCGAGCUUAGGGUGUUCAUCGGAUCCUUCUCUGAUGCUAACCACAACAAGCUCUGGAAGGCGAAGGUGGAGGCCAAGUGCAAAUUCUUCUUCUGGUUACUCCUCAAAGGCAAAAUCCUGACCAAUGACAACCUUGCUAUGCGUGGCCUCCUACAUAACUCGAGGUGCAACCUCUGCGACCAGGUGGACGAAUCUGCGGUGCAUCUGAUCCUGCACUGCCCCUUCGCGCACUCUAUUUGCCCGCUGAUGGAGAAUCUGAAAUGA